UGUGUGUGUGUGUUCGCAAGAUGGCAUCUUUUUCUCUGUUUUCAAAUCCUUGCUGCUCUUUGCUCAAGUCCUGAGGAGUCCCACUGUCAACUCAAAUGAUUCCCAAAAGUUGUUUUUCUUCACUUUACUUCUUUGUCUGUCUUCUCCUAGCCAGCAUGAGCCAGUAAUGUCACUAAACGUAGUCAGGAGUUUCCUGCAACUCUCUCAUGACGAAGGAAAUUUGUCUUAAAUUCUUCAUUCUUGAGAUAUGGUAGCUCAAACAUCGCUUACCGCGACAGUUUACACG